GGAAUGAAGGAUUGAAUUUCUCCCCCACUGGAUAAGAUCUGAGGCACUUUGCAAGGACACAUGCACGUGAAGGGAGUCUGUGCGUCACUGUGGACCCCCGCGUAAAACGCUCACCUGCGGAGGGAUCCAUCCCUCCCGCUCUGCGUCUCCUCACUGUGUCAGUCUCCGUCUCCGCUCGUGAAGGCAGGAGUUGUUGUUCUGAGUGUUUAACAUGUGCUAAGGGAGGUGAAUGGCUAAGUUUUCUUUUUAUCCAAUAAAAAUGUCUCCUUGCCAGAUCGAUUGUUGUUGCUAGGAGACUGAAGCAUCCUUGGCAAAAGGGGCUACAGCUCCCCGCGUCUGUUGUUUCCCUCCCCGUCCCUCUCUCACUUACUUUUUUCUCUCUCUUGCCCGUGGACGCGCGCGCGCACACACCCGCGCACGCACACACACAAAUGAAGCUGGCGCGCUGUGCAUCGGCGCCCGUCCUCUCCCUCAGUGCGACUCCUCCGAGGGAUCAGGAGUAAGUCAAACUUCCAGCAGCUUGAGAUUUUCUGCGCAGCCCUCAAAGCGUCGGCCAAGAAGCAAGGAUGGAAGCAUGGACUCGUAUCUUAGAACAGCGCACAGGACUCUAACCCACUGAAAGCAGAUAUCAUUGUUGAUGUUGACAUGUGCCAGCUGGCAUCUUCUGUUCCUCUCUUGCCCUUCUUUAUUCAGGUAAGUAAUUAUAUUUCAUAAAUGAGCAUAUGGGAUUUCCUUAAUUUAAUCAUAAUAAUAAUUAUGCUCAUUUAAUAUAAAAAAUAAUGGCAUUAAAUU
rnacentral:lncRNA from 1 species